GAACUACUCCCUCCGUCCCAAAAUUCUUGUCUUAGAUUUGUCUACAUAUAAAUGUAUCUAGUCACGUUUUAGUAUUCUGAUACAUCCAUUUCUAGACAAACCUGACAAGAAUUUUGGGACGCAGGGAGUACAUC
rnacentral:pre_miRNA from 1 species